rnacentral:lncRNA from 10 species
CUUUCUCAUGGUGCUAUUUCUUAGUAUGCUUAGAAAUCUUUGCUGGAAUGCUAGAGAUUGUGUAUGAAAAACUAUAGAAGCUGUGGAUGAAAUUAUCCUCUUCCAGGGAGGAUUCACCCUGUCCUCUGUCAAAGUAGAGCAGGGACACCUCAAUCCAGUCAAAAACUGAGCUUACUCAAGGCUGGGCUUCAGAUUCCUAAGAAAUGCAACAAGAGCCUUACAAACCAUCCAUCUGAAGAGCAAGCACAAAGACCGGAUAUUUGUGGUGCCACCGC